GUUCUGAGGAGACUCAAGCGUCUGGUGAGGCUUCAUCUAUCCAUGUAGAGGGGUCCCAGAUAGGUAAGCUUGCUCUAUCCAUUGAUAAGCUUGCUUUUGGUUUCAUCUUUAUUCAUAGCCAUAAUGAUAUGUUCCUUACAAAUAUACGAGUGGCACAUGUGGUUUCUAAUAUUUCCCAAGUUUUUGCGCGACGCUCUCUUGCCAUCCAAUGUUUCUAGCAAUGGUUUUGGCCUUUGCGCAAGGCUUUCCCCUUCGUCGCCCAAGAAGUUAUUCCUAGUAGUGAUACUUGCCAUGUAGGACUCUUAUGAGAAACAUAGAAGAACGUUGAAAUAUAUAAGAGGUCUUAAAUGGUGAAUACAGGUUCUCUGUAAUAGUCUUAAAUGGUGAACAUAGGUCACAGCUAAUCUCAUUGAACACAAUAUUCUUAAGUUCCAAUUGCUAACGUUCAUGUCUAAGUAAUCUUUUGUUUUUAUCAUAAUCCAAUUCAUUGUACUUUGUUAAUUA